GAUGAACGCUAGCGGCAGGCUUAACACAUGCAAGUCGAGGGGUAUGGGUUUUCGGACCCAGAGACCGGCGCACGGGUGCGUAACGCGUAUGCAAUCUGCCUUACACCAGGGGAUAGCCCAGAGAAAUUUGGAUUAAUACCCUAUAGUAUAUUGAUGUGGCAUCACAUUAUUAUUAAAGAUUUAUCGGUGUAAGAUGGGCAUGCGUCCCAUUAGCUAGUUGGUAUGGUAACGGCAUACCAAGGCAAUGAUGGGUAGGGGUCCUGAGAGGGAGAGCCCCCACACUGGUACUGGGAAACGUACCAGACGCAUACGGGAGGCAGGCGUGAGGAAUAGUGGACAACGGGCGCAAGGCUGAACCAGCCAUGCCGCGUGCAGGAUGACGGUCCUAUGGAUUGUAAACUGCUUUUAUACAGGAAGAAACCCUAUUACGUGUAAUAGAUUGACGGUACUGUAGGAAUAAGGAUCGGCUAACUCCGUGCCAGCCGCCGCCGUAA
rnacentral:rRNA from 1 species